CUUUCAUUGUAUUAAAAAAAUGUACAAUAAUUAUUAUUUAAUCUUUCUUAAUAAGAGAAAAAAGUUUUUUAACACUUAAAAAAAUUUUAUUCUUGUCAUUCCUGUAAACAAAUAAAAUUGGUUUGACAUGUAUAGUACAUUUUUGUAUAGUAUAUACGUUUUAAAAUGCCAUCAUGACAUUGCAGAUUUUUACUCCUCUACUUAAGUAAUAAGGUAUCAAGCGAGAUAAUAAAGUUUUCGUUUUCAACAUUUUGGUAUUUCAUUUUUUUUAACAGAAAAGUUUUUGGUUAUUUCGUGUUUACGAACAGGUAUUUACGAAUGAAAUCAUUUCUGUUGUAUGAGUUUAUUGAAAUAGAUGUGUAUUAUCGCCGGAAGCGUUUAAAUGUACAUAUUUACGGGAAAAAUAUUUAUUUUUUAACAUUAGUUUCGUGUUUCGAUACAUUUUAAUAUAAGACAAGUUUUUGAAGUACUUACUUGUACAAACCUACAUAAAAUACAAUAUUUAUAAAAAAUAAAACAUAUUUUUAAAAGUGAUUUUGUUGUGAUUAUGUAAAUAUCAUUGUAUGUACACUGCCGUUAAUAUUUUUAUUUUAUAUCGCAAAUAUUUGAAAAUUUUGUAUUGAUAACGAUCAUAAGAAUUUUCUACGUAUGGAUUAAUGGCUGAAAGCCCCUUCAAUAUUUAACACAUAAUUAGAUUUAGUUGUCUUUAGUGAACUUUGAUCGCACAAUUUUAGUUGGAAAAUUGUGCUAUUUGUUCUAGCAUUCAUAAAAUUAAAUAAUAUGUUAGUUGAUAACAAUAGCAAUCAAUCAGUAAUACAGUAAUUAUAAAGCAUUUGCUAUAAAUGAGACCAACCAUUUCAAAUUGUAAAAUUAUAAACAAGCAAAUAAAAAAAGAACACAAAGUAGGUGUAAAGAAUAUAAUACACAGAAUGCCACAGAGUAUAGAACAUAAUAGAGAGACAACUAAUAUCCCUUAUCCAACACAUUCAAAUCAACAUCUCUAUCCUCAUCUUAGUAAUGGAUUUUACAACAAUAAUGUCGGUAGCAAUAAUAUACGUGUUGCAAGACUUGAUUGUGGAUUUUCAAAUUCUCAUAUGGAUACUGAAGGUAUGUUUUUAUUUUACAAUUCUUUAGCCGGCGUACAAAUAAUAUUGUCAUCUCAUAUUUGUUUUUUGUUAUAAUAUGUAGUAAAUUAAAAAUGUAUAUUCAUGGAAUAUUAAAUAUAACAAUGACAAUUAAAAAUUACAUUUUAGAAACAGUCUACAUAAUAUGAAUACAAUAUUAAAUUUCAUAUAAUUUAGGUAUUAUGUAUAUUUUCGUUUUAAAUUAAAGUUAGUUAAAUACUAAACAAAUGAUUAAAUUAGUCUAUAAACAGAUUGUGAGUAAACCCUUACUUCUUAAAAUAAUAAUUCAUUAAUAAAAGCCCUUAUAUUUAGUUAGAAUCAAACUUUAUUCAGGUAUUUGAUUUCAUUCAUAUAUACAUAUAUACAUAUGUAUGUAUUUAUGUUUGUAUACGCACAUACAUAUACAUAUUUGGCUUCGAACUAGUUAAAAAUAUACAAGUACCAGUAUGUCUACGUGAGCGUGACAUUGCAUUUUAUUAUUAUUAUAAAAACUUGUGUGUUUAGUUGAUAACAUAUCCAAUCUCUCUACUUUACUCUCUACCUCUCAAUUCAAUUCGCAUAAAUUGGGAAAAUACCGUCUAAACAAAAUUCAUUCUGCGAAUGAAAACCGGUCGCAAUGAGUUUGCUUUUUGAGUGGCAAUUUUUGUUUGUUUAAUUAAGCAAUUUUAUUUAUUGAAAACUGAUAAGCGAGCAACAACUAACAAAUCGAAAAAUCAACUCAUCAACAAACUGUCUGAUGGAUGAGAAUACUCAAAUAAAUUUGCUAGUAAUAUUUGUUAGUUUGUAAUAAUUGUUUUAACUUAAUUAAUAUGAAAUUUAAAAUAGAAUUAAUAUGCACACGCAGUUUUUAUACAUAUGUGUUUAUUUUUGUAUACGCGCAGCAAAUUGAGAUUUUUAAAUACAAUUUUAAAUCUUAUUAAUUAAAUGAACAUAAGAAAUAACUAGAAUUAACGAAUUCUUAAAAUGGCGGUUAAUUAAAUCGAGAAAUUUGAAAAGCUUGUUGGUUCGGAGAAUUGGCUAACAUGGAGUAUUGCUAUGGAAACGCAAUCACGAUUCGAAAACCUGUGGAAAUAUGUAGAUGUUGUCUUGGAAAACUACAAACCUGAAGAAGAUGAAAAAGCAAGAUGCCGUGUAAUUUUAUCUUUGGAUAAGUCACUUUAUGUCUAUGUUAGAGGUUGCGAAAAGACAUGCCAUGUAUGGAAAGCUCUUAAGGAUUCGUUCCAGGAUUCAGAUGAUGAAUGGUUUGGCUGUUUUAGUUGUAAACAGACGAAAACGUAUAGACCGAUGAUAAAGUCUCAUGGAAGCUGUGGUACGAAAAUAACAGCUGAUUCAAUCAAGAUGAAAUUACUUCAUGGAAGUCAUGUCGCUUGGUAGAAAGUUCUUGUCAUGCAUUAGUAACCAAGAAAACGUUUCAAAAAAAGCAAAAAGAAAAUGAAUCCGAACGCAAAUAUUUUGGAUGCAGUGGCUUAGGACAUUUUAUUCCUUAGAGGUUGCGAAAAGACAUGCCAUGUAUGGAAAACUCUUAAGGAUUUGUUCCAGGAUUCAGGUUUGUUACAAAAGCUAUGUUCAAUUAAAUUGGAAGAUUGUUCUUCAAUUGAAGAUUAAGUAUCACAAAUUGUAAUUGCAUCUAAAAAUUGGGAUCAAUUGGUUUUGUUGUAGAUGAUGAAUGGUUUGGCUGUUUUAGUAGGAAACAGCCGAAAACGUAAAGACCGAUGAUAUUUUGGAUGCAAUGGCUUCGGACAUUUUGAAGCUAAUUGUCUAACCACGAAAAAAGAAAAAAAUCAAGAAUAGUACAUCGUUUUAUGCAUUGAGCGGCAGGUAUGUGAAGAAUAAAUUAAAAUACAUUGAUAGUGGUGCUUCGGCACAUAUGACGAAGGAGAAAGAAAUUUGUAAGAAAUUUGAACCAUAUGAAGGUGAGAUAAAAACAGCAGGUGCAAUCAAGGGAUGACAAUGAAAUAAAUGUUUGUGGAGAAUAUGAUAAAUAUGUAAUCCCAGUUAAAAACGUGUUAUAUGCUCCAGACAUAACGGAAAACUUAUUAUCAGUGAGUCAAAUGUGUAGUGGUGGUAAUCGAAUAGUAUUUGAUAAGAAUGGCUUAAAUAUUUUUGGUUCAAAUGGACAAAUGAUUGGAAGUGCUAUAUGUGAGAACGGCAUGUAUAGAUUAAAUUCGCCAAAACCCUAUCAAGCAUUUAAUGCCAGUGGCAAAGACUCAAUGGAAAUAUGGCGUAAACGUUUUACACAUCUCUAUUACGAUGGUUUAAAGCAGCUAAGCGAUGGUAUGGUAAUUGGUUUGGACCUUAAUGUCAACCCUUUGAAUAAAGAGUUAUGCCAAGAAGAAAAGCACAAAAAUGGGAUUCAAAAUCAUGUAAUGGCAUUUUUGUUGGAUAUGGCAUUAACAUUAAAGGUUACGUAUAUAUGAUAUAAAUAAAAAAAGUCGUAACAUGUCGAGACGUUAAAUUCGAUGAAAAUAAAAAAGCUUUUUAUUUAUUACAGAAAAAGGAAAAUAAUAUUAUUUUUUCAGUUGUGACAACACACAGAAGGAAAACGUAUCUACGUAUUCAAAUAAUAUUGAUGAUAAAGAUAAUAAUAAUUCCAUCAUAAGUUCAUUAUCAUUUAAUUCUGUUAAUGAGAAUGAUGUGGGGGAAUCGGAAGAAUCUGACCAAAUAGAGGCAACUAACGAUUCCAAUAAUAUAAAAAACCUUUAGACUCAAGUGAAACUACUGAUUGCCAAAUUGUGGAAACUGAAUGUUGUAAUGAGGGUGCAAUAGGGGAAUCCAUUCCUAGAAGAAGUGAAAGACUAGCCAAUAAAGAAAAAACUUCUUAGAAUUGGUUAAGCUAUUGUGCUGAACUCUCUGAAGAAGAACCAAAUAGUAUUUAAGAAGCACUUUCAUCAAGAUAAAACCAAAAGUGGCAAGAGGAUAUCAACAAGUUCCCAAUGGACAUGUUUUGAAGUUGCAGAAAGCACUUUAUGGAUUGAAACAAGAAAGUCAUAUUUGGAAUAAUAAAUUGAAUGAUGCUGUACAAAAAUAUGGUAUGAAACGUUCUAAACUUGAAAUUACUUUUAUGGCUCUUUAUGCUCCUAUUUACUAACCAUAAUGAUUUUAGUCAAUUAUUUAAAACAAAUUUAAUGGAAAAUUUUAAAAUGAAAUUUUUAGGUGAAGCAAAACGAUGUUUAGGAAUGCGUAUAAUUAAAACUGAUGAACAUAUAACUCUGGAUCAAGAAGAAUAUAUUCUAAACAUGCUAAAAAGUUAUGAAAUGGAAAAUUGUUAUCCGAUAUCUACACCGAUGGACCUUAAUCAAGAAUUUUCAAAAUCCGAAUGUAAAGAUGACACAAUGAAAAAUGUACCCUAUCAAAAAGCAAUUGGUAGAUUAUUUGCUGUACAAUGCACACGUCCUGAUAUAAGUCAAGCUGUACAUUUUUUAAGUAAAUUUAAUAAAGAUCCUUCAUUGAAUUCAUUGGACAGCUGUGAAACGUAUUUUUCGAUAUUUGAAAGCAACUACUUAUUACAAGUUACAUUUUUAUACUAAUGGUAAUUAUAAUCUUAUUUCGUACACUGAUUCUGACUGGGGUAAUGAUUUGGAAGAUCGAAGAUCAGUUACUGGUUACGUUAAUUUAUUACAAAAUGCAGCAAUAUCCUAAAAUAGCAAUCGACAGCCAACCAUUGCAUUAUUUACAACUGAGGCCGAAUAUAUGACGUUAUCGGCAACAGUACAAGAAAUCAUGUGGCUAAGAAUGCUGUAAAAUGAACUUAAUUUUGAAUUUAAUGAUCAAAUUCCUACUAACGUAUAUUAUGACAACCAAAGUGCAAUAAACAUAGCCUCGAAUGAAGUAUAUCAUCCAAGAAUCAAACAUAUUGAUAUAAGGCCCCAUUACAUAUGAGAAAAACGUCAAUCAAAUGAAGUUUCGUUUGUUGGAAUAUCUUCAAAUGAUCAACUUGCUGCUUUUUUGACUAAACCCGUUUCCAAGGGAAAACGUUUAAAUCUGUUGUAAAUUUUUGGGAUUGCUAUAAAGUAGAUUUCGAUUUUAACUUGUUCGAAAUGUAUAAAGCGAAAUCAUACUUAACUUUGUAAUUUGUUCUAUGUCAAUUAGACAAUUUUCAAUGAAAUAUUAUUCAUAUUUUCUUUGCUCAACUAAAAAUAAUAAAUGAUAGAAGAAUUA